UACGGAGGAGGCAAGCGUUAUCCGGAAUUAUUGGGCGUAAAGCGUCCGUAGGUGGUUCACCAAGUCUGCUGUCAAAGGGUGGGGCUUAACCUCAUAAAGGCAGUGGAAACUGGUGAGCUAGAGUGUGGUAGGGGUAAGGGGAAUUCCCAGUGUAGCGGUGAAAUGCGUAGAGAUUGGGAAGAACAUCGGUGGCGAAAGCGCCUUACUGGGCCUGCACUGACACUGAGGGACGAAAGCUAGGGGAGCGAAAGGG
rnacentral:rRNA from 1 species